GAUGAAGAACGUAGCGAAAUGCGAUAAGUAAUGUGAAUUGCAGAAUUCCGUGAAUCAUCGAAUUUUUGAACGCACAUUGCGCCCGCUAGUAUUCUGGCGGGCAUGCCUGUCCGAGCGUCAUUUCAACCCUCAAGCCCCCGGGCUUGGUGUUGGGGAUCGGCGAGCCUCCGCGCCCGCCGUCCCCUAAAUCUAGUGGCGGUCUCGCUGUAGCUUCCUCUGCGUAGUAGCACACCUCGCACUGGGAAACAGCGCGGCCACGCCGUUAAACCCCCAACUUCUGAACGUUUGACCUCGGAUCAGGUAGGAAUACCCGCUGAACUUAAGCAUAUCAAUAAGCGGAGGA
rnacentral:misc_RNA from 1 species